GUCUUGUUGAGCGCCUGGUUCUCAGAUACCAUAAAAGCUAAAGCCACAAAAUUUUGCAUCCAGACUUCUGUAUGCUCACACUGUUACACGUGUAUUUAAAAAAUGAGCCCAACCCCCUUCCGCCCCGCAAAAGGGCGAAAACCUCACAAAUCUACAAUUUUGAAGAUAAAAGAAAACUAAAAACGCCAUUCCGCAGGGAAUGACCAUAUCUAUCAGACCACCAAAUUGGGAUCCGAUUGGACCAUUUUUAUAGCCAGAAUGAAGAAAUUAAUAUGCAGUGGCUAAACCCACCCUGUGCCGCAGCUUUUGUUGUUUUUUUCCCAUUCUCUCCUUCACACUCUGCUUCGGACUCUGCCUCUGCCGCGAGUCUGCAGUGUGUGGGUUUAGGGAAGGGCGGCGAGCUAAAGGAGCGUGUUGGUGUUAAAAGUGUUGUAGAUGUAGAUGACAGAUGAAGAAAAAAUGUCAUUUUGACAAAACACCGCUAAGGUGCAGACAUAGUACUGAGUGCCGGGUAUAAAAGAUGUGACGUGAAAGGAGCGUCUCACACGUCCCUUCUCGUUUAAAUAUGUACAGUGGGGAGCAAU
rnacentral:lncRNA from 1 species